rnacentral:misc_RNA from 1 species
GUCGGANGUUCAGUCCUCCCAGGCCCACCACUUCCUUUAACACGAAGGUUAUCAGGGGCCGUAGCUCAGCUGGGAGAGCGCCUGCUUUGCAAGCAGGAUGUCGUCGGUUCGAUCCCGUCCGGCUCCACCAACACGCGAUCUCGAAGAGAUCGUCGCUUCAGCCGCCACGUUGCGGUUUGGCAAGCGCGCGAUCCGCAGGAUCGUCGCGUCGAGGUGUUGAGCAGAGAUGGUGAGAAAAAAGUCAUUCGAAAAAGAGUUUGCGUCGAGCCUAGUGCUCCGCGCCUGUUCUGUUUGACAUCGUAAAGAGAAGAUUUGUUCGAACUUCAUGGCUGCAAAGCUGUGAUUUGUCGCAAGGGACGCUCAAUCCCUUGCCUAUGAUGGGUUUGCCUAACCGCGCCCUCGAACGGAUCUCGAGAAGCUGGUCUUUUUGUGCCAAUUCCAUUCGGUAAUGCCCCGCACAGGGUGUUGCUGGAGCGACGAUCCUUCGGAUCGCGCCUAGCUAAUCUCGCAAGAGAGAGGCUGAAGCGACGAUCUCUUCGAGAUCGCGCGAUGGGUAUUGGCAAUGAGAACGAUCAAGUGUCUUAAGGGCAAUUGGUGGAUGCCUUGGCAUGCACAGGCGAUGAAGGACGUGAUACGCUGCGAUAAGCUACGGGGAGGUGCGAAUACCCUUUGAUCCGUAGAUCUCCGAAGG